UGCUGCUGCCUGUGACAAACAAGAAGAUCAUGUCAAUAAGAUGACGCAGCUUAUCAGUGGCAAACGUCAACAUGUCUACUCAUCAGAGACAAACAAGGUCAUCGACUGAUAACAGUGAAAAAGAGGAAAUGCACAGGACAGAGCGCUUCAAAUAAUUCCCGGAGAGGAAGCCAUCUAAAAAGGAAGCGAAUGUUCGGCACAGCUUUGUAGGCCGAAGGGCCUGAAUUGUGCUGUAGGUUUUUUUCUGUGUUUCUGUCUGGGAGGUCUAAUAAAGAGGUCGCUUGUUUGGGAGUUGCCACAGAAGUAACCUGGACAAGUAAUGGCAGUGCAUCUUGCAGUAAACACUGCAGCCACCGUGCACCAGCGUUGGAGGUUGAUGGUGUACCAUUCAAGUGACCUGCUUUGUCUUGGAUACUGUCUAGUUCUGUGAGAUUGAUGAUGCUGUAUUCAAGUGGGGAUCAGAGCUGCCACAUCAUUCUACUGUCAAUCGUCAACAAAGUGAUGGAUGUUAUUGCUGCCAAAAGCACCGAGUGGCACUUAUUCUCCAAUAAUCAGCUCGCAGUUUGGGCGUUGCCAGGACUACCUGCCUACACAACUCAUUACAGCCUUUGUCCAGACAUGGACCGAGGAGCUAAGCCUAGAAGCAAAGUGAGAGCAACUGCCCUCAACAUCAAAGCAGCAGCAAAUGACUUCAAGAAGCCCUGGUAAAACUGAAGACAGUAAUCAUCAAGAGGAAGAUAUUCCAGUGGUUGGGAUUAUAACCUGCACAUGGAAAGAUGGCUGUGGAUUUCAGAGGUCAAUCAUCCCAGCCCAAGGACAUUACCACAGGGUACUCGCCUGGGCACAAUCGUAUUCAGCUGCUUCAUCAACAAUCUUCCUUCCGCCUUGAGGUCAGGGAAUGUUUGCCGAUGAUUGCACUAUGUUCAAUUCAAUUUGCAGAUCCUUGGAAAAUGUAUAAGGCCCAUGCCUGCAUGCAGCAAAACCAAGACAUUCAGACAUAGGCUGAUAAAUGGCAAGUGACAAUUGAUCCACAAAAGUCCCAGGUGCCCUGCCUGAUCUAGCCUUUCAUUGACUUUAGGUGAAACCCUCUAAUCAUUUUCCAUCAGCCUCUUUCGCGAUACUGGUAUUGAAUGACUUUGCCCAAACAUUUAGGUAUAAGAAAAUGCACUGAAUCCAGCAUUUUCAUAGAAAAUGAUUGAAUCAGUGUCAAUUAGUCUAUUUCCUAUUUGCUCUAUCUGGUUUUUAUUCAGUUUCUGAUUAUGGAUAUUAUAUUGGUUAAUCAUUAGAGACUUAUUACCUCUGCCCAAAAAUUUCUUGAAGAAAUGCAACAUAUUCACUUACACUUGGGAAUGUCUGGUCCAUGACCACUCAAGGUGCAGAAGGAGGAUUUGGAAUUGAGAACCUCAAGGCCUUGAGAACUCAGUAGCAUAGUAUUGUAGUUGGUAGGGCUGCUGCCUUAGAGUUCCAGUGAGCUGGGUUCAAUUCUGACAUCCAUGCUAUCUGUAUGGAACUUGCAUCUUCCCUCCGUGACCUCAUGUUCUUCCCACAUUGAAAAGGCAUACUGGUCAGUAGAUUAAUUAGCCACUGUAAAUGACCCCAAGUGUAGAUGGGUGGUAGAAGUUCAAGCUGGCAUGGAUGGACAUUGAAAGAGAAUAAACUGAAAGGAAUUAUGUGGGGAAAUGGAAUUGACAGGAUUGCUCUGAGAUCCAGCAUAAGCCCUAUGGGAUGAAUGGUUUUCUCUAUGUCAUAUGAGAAUAAGCAUCAGGAGCACACUGAAGCCCUGCAUAAGUUCAGAAGGAGUCCACCACUUCACUGUCUACCUGUCCACACCUCCUCCCUCCCCACCUCACACCUCCCUAUUCCUGACAGGCUCCUUCUGUCCCUCUGUGAAAAUUUCUGCUCUUCCCACAUUGGCCUCAUUAGUUACCUCAUAGCCCCCUAACCAAGAUGGAAGCAACUCAUCCUCAAUCCCAAGCGACUCUGAGAAGAUGACUUCUCAUCCACUCUCCACUUUUCAUCUUUGAUGAUCCAUGUUUGACAGUUUACUGAUAUUCCUCAUGAAGUCUCCUAUGUUUUCUUGUGGAAGGAAUAUUAAUGUAUGUAAGUAUUAAAGUUACAAAGAUAGCAAUUUCUGUUGCCCGUGAUUUUUCCGAUCUUUUUCAUUUAAUUGACCCAAUGUUUAAUUAACUAAUUCAAAUGUAAGCAAUAGAACUAAAUAGUGAUGUUGAGAGAGAAAUUUGGUAGGCUAUGAAAAGGACCUUUUUACAAAUGUUGAUCCAGUACUGGAAAGGCUGAUUAUCUUCCAUCUGUGAUAAUCCGAGCAGCCCUAUGUCCGGCAAGAUGUUGCAGCCAAAUUAACCACUGUAUUCCUGGCCUUUGGAACAAUGGGAUCAGAACUAAAAUCACUUUCAGGAACCCUCUGAAAGUAAGAUGAUAGCAAAGGUUUUCAAUGACCACAUACUCCAAGUUGCCUGUAAGAGUCUUAUUGAUGCCAUGAUAUGAGUAUAAUGUGAACAUUUAAACUUUAAAUGAACAGAGUGCUGGCUCCCAAACAUGUGCCAUACCAGCAGAGUUAAUUUCGUAAAGCAUAUUUAUAAAGCCCUGAUGUUCUCAUGAACUCAAGAGGAUAUCUUCAUAUUGGGAUACAAAUCUACUGACAUCCAUGAGAUAUGUUUGAAGUAGUGAGAAUAUGUGAGUAAUCUCAAUGUAUGAUUUGUCACAGCGAGAUACUCAGUCUCCAAUGAGUCAUUCACUCAUCCUUGUGCAUAAAACACCUAUGUUCACAAACACAAUCUGAUUUAUGGUUUUUCAACUCCUAAUCAGCCAUUUAUUGUUACUACUUGAAAAAAAUUAGACUGCAGUAUUUUUCAAUGCAAAAUGUCAUCAGGUCUGAUAAUUAGAUCACAAGAACACAAUUUUUUCAGAACGAGUGUGUCAUCUCUGAAACAAAACCACUGAGAAAAAGUGACAAAUCUAAAAACCUCUCAAUGAUUCAUUUCAUCAUAUACUUAUGUUGAAAAAAAUUACCUUCUGAUCUUGCAACAUUAACCUUAUUACUUGGUUCACGUAUCAGAGCCACAAUGAAAAGUGCAGGCAUACACACAAAAUUCACUGCUAACUUCUCAUCAGCUUCAUUUUGCAAUUGGGUUUGCAUCCUGUCCUAAGACCAACAUUAAGCAAACCCAGCACACUUGUAAUUAAUUUGGCAGCCAAUACACUUAGAGACCAGAUUAGUAACAAGAUUGUUACCAACUUUUUUAGCAUGAGAAAAGACCGAAACAAGGAUGAAUUUCUCCCCUGCAGGUUCUCCCCCAAAAUCAUUCAGCUAAAAAAAACAUUAGAUUGGUGGAAAGAAGAGGUCUCCCUGCCUAUAUCAAUUCAUUUUGCUUAUUUUCUUGAGGAAAGCUAUCAUGAGUCAGAUUUAUCGCACUCAUUUUCUUAAUGCUUGUGUUUUUUUAACUUUUGGUCAUGAAUUUCCACAAGAUCAUUCACAAGGUCAUACACCAUGCCCCCAAUUAAUAUGCUAAUGAUUCACAUGGCUGUAACACUGGAGUUCCUGAACUGGUCAUGGUUAGACAUUUGUAUGAACAAUAUCAUUUCUUUUGGAAGAUGGGAAAACGGUCUCUCAUUUUAUUGCCUUUCUCUCUGUCAUUCCCUUACAAAGCUGAGCUCCUUGUGCAAUGUCAACUGUGACUCACAGGAUCGUAUCUUGCCCCUUUAGCCAGAGGAUGUUGGGUCCAAUUCCCAUUCUUGGUUCUUAAACACAAAAAUCCUCUUGGAGUAUUGCACUGUUGGAGAUGCCGUUUCUUGGAUACAACAGUUUUGUCUGCAUUCUCAGUUGGACUUAAAAAUACUUCAAACAAAAGCUGAAAAACAAGGAAAAUAUACGUGAAUUAAAGGCCGCCACACUUCCUGCAUUACAACAGUGACUACACCUGAUACGUACUUCAUUGACUGUGUAGUGCUUUUGGAUGCCAUGAAAGAAACAUGAAUGGAACUAUAUAAAUCUAAGACAGUAUCCUUCAACAUGCACCCAAAACAUCCCACUUGAGUACAAUGCCUCACAAUAAUCCAGAAAAGGAAUUUUAAAAAAUAAAUCCACCUACUAUUUGAUGUAUAAAUCAAAUUUAAAAAAUCAUUUUGUGCACCCUUUGAAAUAUUUGUACCCAUUUGCAACACAUAUCCCACCAUUGGGAAAUUGGAUUGGGAAUGUUUUGUUGGGAUUUACCCAAGGGAGGGUGGUAUUUCUCUAUUGUAUUUCACAGAGACAAUGAUGUUAUCAAUGUGCUCAGGGUGCAUUUCUGACUUACAGACAUAAGCUGGAUCAAUAAGUCGUAAACUACGACCUUUGCUGUUCACUCAUAAUGAAGCAAAGAGCAUGUCAAGCAGUAACUGGGGAACCAGAUAUGAAUUUAAGGCUUGCCAUUGGGACAUCACUUCUAUAAGCUCUGAUUCCAGCACAUUGAUUGACAUGUGUGGUCCUUACAUGGACAUGAUAUCUGACAUUGGAUGAAUCCCAACAGGAAGUACCCAAGAAUUUCCCAAUAGGUGGGAUUCCAACUACAGACCAAGGCCUGGUCAGGCUGCUUCAGAAUAUGGGCAUCCGCCAUAUUCUCUCCCCAGCCCCAAAUUUCCCACUCGUCUCUUGGUUUCCCACACAACCCCAUGAUGUUCACCUUCCCUGUGAUUUUCCAUCUCUUUCCCUAUUCCCCCACCUCACGGUUUUCCACCCUUGUCCUAUGGCCUAGUAUUUUCCCUCACUUCUAUGGCAGCCUAUGUGGUGAGAACAUUUAACACCCCAACUCGCUUCCUAGCAGGCAACAUGUGAACGAGAAGGCAGCUGGGAGCUGAAGCACCUGCUGGUCUCUAUGAAUGCACAACUUGACUUCCAGCACAAGUGAUGGGAGAAAACCAUGAGAGCAAUUUCUUAAAGCGAGGAUGUCCCAAUUCAGCAAUAUUUUUGGUGACAACCGCUUUGUCUUUAGGACAAAACAUAAACGUUAAACACACCAGAAAUCCACUUUCUAGACUAUUAUGGUGCCUGACUGAGCUACUAUGUGGAUUAAUAAUCAAGGUAAACAAAACUAAAUUAUAUUGUCAAUUAAAGUACAAUUGUGUUUAUCUCUGUAAAUUGGGACUACUUAAAUUGAUCAGACUGUCUCUGCUGCUUAUAUUGUUUUGUCAUUGAAACUUGAAGCUAAAGUGAAUUUGUUAAGUACAUCAAACUUACAAACAACAGGCACUUAAAUAUAAAUUUCAUGUUUGGCUUAUGUUAUAAUAUGUGUUCAUGACUGUAAGAAAUACUAAAUGUGUCUAUGUUCAUAUAUAGAGUUUUUAUAAACCUUUUAUAAUCCUGAUACUUGUAUCAUGAUUUGUGGCAGUUACUUUGAAUGGCUCUUGAAGUACUGAGCAACUUGUAUCAUUUUUAAAGAUAUUUUGCAUAAUUGUUUCAGGUAUAUUACAAAACACUGGGACACAAAAAUAAUCAUUUAGGAAUCUACUCAGCAGCGUUGUUUCUGUAGUUGGUUAAUAAGAUAUGUUCACGAGAUAAAAUACUAUCACAAACAAGCGUAUAUUUUUGUCAAAUGCUCUACUUAAUAAAAACCUCA